UUGGGACUAGCAUGGUAUAAGGGGAGAUGGGAGCAUGCGGUUUGGGAGGGGAGAUUUGGAGGCCAUUGGUAGGGGCGGGUUGAGUUGCCGAUGUUGGUGGAGCAGGGAGGGGAUAUGUAUGUGAGUGUGGCCUAGCAAGGCCGAGAGGGGUAGAAGGGUGCAUGAGUCACGGAUGGUGGUGACGGGAGGUGGAAAUGUUUGUGUGUGUGCGUGGCCCAACGAGGUCGAGAGAUGGAGGAGUGAGUAUGAGUCGCCGAUGUUGGUGACGCGAGAGGAUGGUAUUUGUGUGUGUGUGUGGCCUCUUUAGGUCGAGAGGUGGAGGAGUGAGUAUGAGUCGCCGAUGUUGGUGACGCAAGACGAUGGUAUUUGUGUGUGUGUGUGGCCUCUUUAGGUCGAGAGGUGGAGGAGUGAGUAUGAGUCGCCGAUGUUGGUGACGCGAGAUGAUGACAUUUGUGUGUGUGUGUGGCCUCUUUAGGUCGAGAGGUGGAGGAGUGAGUGUGAGUCGCCGAUGUUGGUGACACAGAAUAAUGGUGUGUGGGUGUGUGCGUGGCCUAUUAGGUCGAGAGGUGGAGAUAUAGGUGUGAGUCGCCGAUAUUGGUGACGUGGAAUGAAGGUGGUUGGGUGUGUGUGUGUGUGGCCUCGUGAGGUCGGGAGAUGGGGGAAGAGUGUAUGAGUCGCCGAUGUUGGUGACGAGAGUUAGUGGAUGAUUGUUGGGUGGGGGGGGGGGGGG
rnacentral:lncRNA from 1 species